UACGUAGGGACCAAGCGUUGUUCGGAUUUACUGGGCGUAAAGGGCGCGUAGGCGGCAUGACAAGUCACUUGUGAAAUCUCCGGGCUUAACUCGGAACGGUCAAGUGAUACUGUCGCGCUAGAGUGCGGAAGGGGCAAUCAGAAUUCUUGGUGUAGCGGUGAAAUGCGUAGAUAUCAAGAGGAAUACCUGAGGUGAAGACGGGUUGCUAGGCCGACACUGACGCUGAAGCGCGAAAGCCAGGGGAGCAAACGGGG
rnacentral:rRNA from 1 species